UAUCUCUAAUGAGGCUCCUGUACAUGACAUCUUCUCGCUGUUGACUACUGGCUUAAAGGGAGCUCCCGGGGUGAGUGACAGAGGCGGGAUUGGACCCUGGCAGUCUGACGGCAACACCUGUGUUCCUCUGCAAUGGGCCAUGGACAACAUUACACACCUUU
rnacentral:lncRNA from 1 species